GCUGAUCACCUAAAUUGAAACCGCAUCCACCUUAAAUUUGAUUUAAUGUUCUAUCCUCCCGCUAAUUUUUUUUCCAAACAAACAUUUGUUUGUACAUCAAGCAGAAAGAAGAAAUGGGCGUCAGCCAUCUACACAAUCCAUCCAUCCACUCCACCCCACUUCACACUACUACCAUUUCAAUUGCACCAAAGCUCUGCUCAGUAAAAAGAAAAGCACAAGGAAAAGGAAAAGAAGCAUGUUCCAAAGGAGAGAGUUUCGGUGUUGGAUUUUCUUCAACACUAUGAGCUGUAACUGUUGUCUUCAUUCAUCAGAGCCUUUCUGGUUUUUUUCCUCAUCUGGGUCGGUGUUGUCAAGCAUUUAUUUUGCUCUGAGCAGUGCCAGAGGUUUUCUGGGUGAGUUUCUGUUUGACUGUUUGGAAAGAGAGAAAGCGAGAGUUAAGUGAAAAUGACAUUGGAUCGGAGGCAGGUGAUUACCGCUAUUCUGACUCUGUCAAUGUUUGCCAUGCUUGGAAACAUGAUCAAGAAAAGACCUCUUUGAUGCGUUUCAAGAAUAAACUAACUUGGUCUGCCAUUUUACUUUGAAGAUGAAAUUUCCUGCAACAUCAAAUAUUGCAUAUGAUGCUAUCAUGGUUACUAAGAAAGUGAGAUUAACCUUCUGCACUUCAGUGGGCCAUGGGAGAACAACACCGAAGCUCUAAAGCCUUUCUGGAACAAGCCAGCACUGACUAAGAUCUCAUUUGUUCCAAAUCCCUUGCGGGACCUAAAGAAGAUUUCCAGUCUUAUCAAUGACCUUAAUGAUUUUUAUUACUCUUCAUUGUUUAGCCUUCUCUUUAGCCCUUUCUUACUCAUUUCAAUAUAUAGAAGAGAGAGAGAGCCAUCAAAAGGAUUUGUUACAUUCUCAUUGACUGAUGGCCCUGAAUAUCUGUGUAUCACUUCCAGCUUUAUAUAAUUAUUCCCUUGUAUAUGGUUUAAUUCCUUGGUUGCCAGUUGAAAACUAAUUUUUUGGAAUUAGAGGGUAUAGAAUGUUGCUCGUUGUGCAUAUUAGAAUACACCCUCUAGUUCCCUCUGGAGUUUUCUGUUGUUAAGAUGCAAUUUGAUUGGAUUAUUAUGAGCACUUGAUUCAUCACAUUGUUUUCAAAUAAAAUCUUCUGAAUUAGCAGUAUGAUUUUUUUAUUGGAUAAAACUUCUCAUUCUGCUUGUUUGUAGUCUGUAGGCAAUCACUUUACCUUUUACCUCUUUGAUAUUUGGUGUAGCUCAUGUUCUUUUUCUCUCUGCAUUUUGCUUUUUUGGCAGAUGGUAUUUUGUGAUUAGCUAGUGUAAAGUUUUUUACCUCUUAAGUGUGCUUUUGUUGGUUUCAUCAAGUCAUUAAUGCUGUGGUUUUAGCUAGAUAUCUAGGAGUGACUCCUUGUGCUUCCUGACAUCAGGGAGGGCAAACAGGGAAACAAGAGGUUAGUGUUCAGCUUAACACUAUCAAUAUCUUUUCCCACAAUUUUCUAACCUUGAUUUUCUAGGUUACAUGAGCUUGAUAUACACAGGAUAAACUGGUUAAUUAACCAUGAAAAACAGGUGAAACUUGCACUUUAACAUACUUGAACUUUGAAGAAAUUUAUGACUUCGAGAAAUUUAUUAGAAGCCUGGGUGUAGUUGUCAGAGUAGCUAAGGAUUUGCCUGCUGAAGUAUCAACUGGAGAGCUCAAGGCUGUUUGGGUUCUAAACAGAGCUUCUGAAGACUAUAUGGCUGCAAAGAUUGAACCAGUAUUCAGAACAAAGAGGAAGUUAAGGCUUGCAACUUACUUACCAUCUAUAACUAUGAGGAGAGCAGAAGAUUCUAGGUACUCAGAUUUACUUGCCUGAUUGGUAAUGUUUUGGAACUCUCGUGUUGCAACCAGAACUGCAGGAAAUGGUUCACUCUAUAGUUGGGAGGCUAAGAGCCUUGAGCCCAAAGUCUGAUGGCCUUUUCAUCGCAGUGGACUUGAAGCUGGAAGUGUUGGAACAGGAGUGUCAGGGAAGAGAGGCUACUGGACAGAAAAAAUUGUUAUAAUCCAGAGGAAAUUGGUGUGUUUCUAACGUAGACACUACCAUCUAUUUGACUCAGUUUCAAUGGCACCUUAGUCUUGAUGCACUGAGAAAAAUCUUCCCGAAAACGUAUACAAAGGAAGGAGUGAUGCCAGCAGAUAAAAAGGCCAAGUUCCUCAGUUCAGAGAAUUAUGAAUUUGAAAAGGUGAUAGACUUCUAUAUAUGUUCCCAAAGUGAUGUCUUUGUACCUUCUGUCUCUGGACUGUUCUAUGCUAAUGCCGUUGGGAAGAGAAUUGCUUCUGGAAAGAGCCAGAUACUUGUUCCUGCACAAGGCUAAGUUUUCUUUAUACACCUGUUAUUUUUCACAGCUUUGACACCUUAAAAGUAAGCAAUCCAUCAUUUUCUAUCUUUGAGGUGUCCAGCAAGCAGAGAGAAGAAACAGGCGUCAACCAUCUAUGGUAUCCAUCCACUACCUUUCACAUGUUGCAGAUGAACCAAAGCUCUUCUCAGUAAAUAGAAAAGGAGAAAGGAAAGGAGCAUAUGCCAAAAGUGAGAGUUUCGGUGCUGGAUUUUCUUCACUAUGAGCUGUAACUGUUGUCUUCAUCUCAUUGAAGCAUUUUUGUAUUUUUCCUCAUCCGGGUCGGUCUUUCAAGCAUUUAUUGUGCUCUCAGCAGUGCUAGAGGUUUUCAGAGUGUCUCUUGUGUGAGUAUUGGGAGCGAGAGAAAGAGUGAGUUUAGAGAAGGAGAAAGAGAAAAUGGCAAUGGACGCGAGGCAGGUGAUUGCUGCUAUUCUGACUCUGUCAAUGUUUGCCAUGCUUGGAAACAUGAUCAAGAAAGAUCAUUUUGAUACGUUUCAAAUGAAAUUUCCAGCAACGUCACAUGUUCAAUACGAUACCAUAAAAAUUGCUGAAAAAAAUAUCAUUGACCUUCCAACCAUCCGCAGAGGGCCAUGGAAAAAUGAUAGUGAGGCACUGAAACCUUGCUGGAACAAGCCAGCACUCGAAGAGAGAGAGCAGUCAACAGGUUUCAUUACAUUUUCAUUCUCAAAUGGCCCUGAGUAUCAUGUAUCACAGCUUGCUGAUGCCGUGGUAAUUGCAAGAUAUCUAGGAGCAACUCUUGUGCUUCCUGACAUCAGGAAAAGUGAAAGAGGGCAAAAGAGGAAGUUUGAAGAAAUUUACGAUGCAAAGAAAUGUGUGAAAAACCUGGGUAGUGUGGUUAGAGUAGCUCUGGAUCAGCCUUCUCAAGCAUCAACAGGAAAGCUCACGGUUGUUCGGGUCCCAAACAGGGUUUCUGAAGAAUAUAUUGCUGCAAAGAUUGAACCAGUAUUUAGAACAAAAGGAAACUUACGUCUUUCAACUUACUUCCCAUCCUUGGAUAUGAGGAGAGCUGAAGAGACUAAAUAUUUGGAUUCAUUUGCAUGCUUGGCCAUGUUUGGGACUCUACAGUUGCAACCGGAGCUGCAGGAAGUGGUUGACUCUAUGGUUGGAAGGCUAAGGAACUCGAGUCGGAAGUCCAAUGGCCAGUUUGUUGCAGUGGACUUGAGGUUUAAAGUGUUGGAACGAGAGUGCCGGAGAAGAGAGGCUAAAGGAAAGAAAAAUUGUUAUAAUGCAGAGGAGAUUGGGGUUUUCCUAAAGAAGAUCGGUUUUGACAGAGACACUGCAAUCUAUUUGACUCAGUCUAAAUGGCAUCACAGUCUUGAUGCACUGAGAGAGAUCUUCCCGAAAACAUUUACAAAGGAAGGUAUCAUGCUGGCAGAAAAAAAGGCCAAGUUCCUCAGUUCAGAGAGUUCUGAAUUUGAAAAGGCUAUUGAUUUCUACAUAUGUUCUGAAAGCGAUGUCUUUGUACCUUCCAUUUCUGGACUGUUCUACGCCAAUGUGGUCGGGAAAAGAAUUGCUUCUGGCAAGAGCCAGAUACUUGUUCCAGCACAAGUUGACAUGGCACAGCAGUGUUGAUGCAUUAUGAGAGAUCUUCCUCCAAAAAAUAUACAAAAGUAAGCAUUUCUAGUCUCUCUUUUGUAGUCUGUCUUUUUUUUUUUUUUUUCUUUGUUCUUUUUUCCUGUGUUAGUCUUUAAUUUAUCUUGCCCAUUGUGGAAUAUGAGGAUGGAUCAGUGGUUGAGCCAUGAAAUUAAUUUGGAGGGGGCCAACAUUUAAGAAUAUUUGACCCCCUCGGGACUCAGGUGGCUUUGCCGCUGUGUUGAAAAUACGGUGCUCAAGCACCCAACUUCAACUGAAAGUCUGUCUCUAAUUUGUCCUUUCUAUUAUCUCCAAAUGUGGUUCUUUUAGGAAUAUCUUCUGCUGUGAAAAGGUCAAAGAUGACUUCAGUAUGACUAGGGUUUAUAUGUAUUAACAUUCUUUUCAAGAUCAAAAUGAAAGCAUUAUGGAAGUUGCUUCCAAAUUCAAUUCUGGAUUAAUAUCCUUUGUAUAAGUAGUUUAUGACUUGGUGUGCAGUCUUUCUUCAAUUAAUUCUAUGUGAUUUUUUUUCAAUUGACAAUGACUGUACAUCAGCUGUUUGAAAUUCAAGAAGGUUAUAGACAUGAAGAAAAUAUUUUGGGAUGAGAAACUUGGGAUUAAAACAUCUAAUAUAUAUCAAAUGCGAGAUACUAAUGUUUUGAUCUAACAAUUUGUAUUGAAAGAUAAACAAACGAAAGUGUUUGUUAAUAGAACUACUUUAUAGCUUUGUUCAGAAUCUUCCCUGCAGGAAUUUUUUAGACAUGCGAGGGAUAUAACUGGAGGUAGAAACUGAUUUUACUCAUUUCAUCUUACAGUUGAUAAAGUGAAUAAAAUCAGCUUUGCCCCCAAUGUAAUCUACCCUUAGAUGUCUAAAAAUAACUACUUUGCUUAUCCAUCUUUCUUGAAUUUCCACAGGGCAAAUGCUGAAUAGGUUGCAAAGUAAUCUUGAAAACAAAAGCUCUUGGUAUAUUUUUCUAUCCUCUAAUGCAGGCUGAAAAAAGGAAAGAAGGGUUCAUAUCAUUGUCUCGCCCAUGGGAGUGUUUGAGCUUCAGAAGAGAUUUCCAUUCAGUCCCAUUUAGUCCUUGAAAACAAGUGUUGAAGAACAGAGCUCAUCAGAUUGCUGCCAUGAAGACAAUGAGCUAAGCUAGCUCAUCCCAAAUGAUUUGAAUGAAACAAAUGGAGGCUUCUAUUGGCUAUGUAAAUACUUAAUAACCUUCUCUUUUUGGUGAAAAUGUGGCUGUUGACUUUGGAGACCAAUGGGCACAAGUGUUCCCAUGGUUGGACAUGUAAAAUACCUUUAGAGCAGAUCAUAUAGGUUUCUUAUGAGCUUCCAUGGGUGAGAUAAUAUAUAAUUUCUUUCUUUUUUUUUUUGCCUGCGACAAAAUCUUCAACAUGUCCCUUAAGUCAAAUGAUUAUAUGGCUGCUUAGUGGUUACAUAUCCUUUUUAAUAAACUAUGCUUUCUUUAAUUUUUA